rnacentral:rRNA from 1 species
UACGGAGGGUGCAAGCGUUAUCCGGAUUCACUGGGUUUAAAGGGUGCGUAGGUGGGUUGGUAAGUCAGUGGUGAAAUCCCCGAGCUUAACUUGGGAACUGCCAUUGAUACUAUCAAUCUUGAAUACCGUGGAGGUCAGCGGAAUAUGUCAUGUAGCGGUGAAAUGCUUAGAUAUGACAUAGAACACCAAUUGCGAAGGCAGCUGGCUACACGAAUAUUGACACUGAGGCACGAAAGCGUGGGGAUCAAACAGGG